UACGAAGGGUGCAAGCGUUACUCGGAAUUACUGGGCGUAAAGCGUGCGUAGGUGGUUUGUUAAGUCUGAUGUGAAAGCCCUGGGCUCAACCUGGGAACUGCAUUGGAAACUGGCUUACUAGAGUGCGGUAGAGGGGUGUGGAAUUCCCGGUGUAGCAGUGAAAUGCGUAGAUAUUGGGAAGAACACCAGUGGCGAAGGCGGCUAACUGGUCCAGCACUGACGCUGAGGUGCGAAAGCGUGGGGAGCAAACAGG
rnacentral:rRNA from 1 species